AAGGCUCUUAGAAUAGGGAUCUAUUAUCUAGUUACGUGCAUUUAUAGGAAGGCACUCGAAAUAGGGAUCUUUUAUCUGGAUACAACUUUUAUGGAGAAGGCUUUUUGAAUGGGGAUCUUAUGUGCGAGAAAGCUCUUAGAAUAGGUAUCUCAUAUUUGGCUACAACAAUUUAAUAAGUCUUUUUGAGUAAGGAUCUCAAAUUUGGAACAGCAUAUGUGAGAAAAUUUUAGUUUGGUAUCUCCAUUUGUUUGGAUCACCUGCUUUUAGUUCGAUAUAUCUCAAACAAUUAUAAUUCAUCAAUUUUGUAUCUUAAUUUAUUUGGAUCACUUAAUUUUGGUUCGAUAGUUUCAAACAUUUAUGAUUCAUUGAAGUUAAAAGAUCUUGGCAAGGUGGAGCAUCACAAGUGUCGAGAAGAUUAUGACUUUGGGUCAAAUUUCUACUACUUAAACUUGACAAAAACAUAUCGCUGAAAGGUGCAUUAGUAGCAGUGUUAUUCUAUUUGGGAGAAGUUUUCGUUAAGAUAAAAAUUAUUGAAUUUGGCAAACUUGACUAAAAUCUGGCUUUGAAAGGGGCAUCGGUAGCAUGUUACUCUAUUUAGGGAAGUCUUUUGCCAAGGUGGAGAUUAUUGGGUUUGACUUCAAACUCUUUGUUAGAUUUGGAUUCAAACUCCCUAUUAGAUUUGUAUUCAAAGCCCUAGUUAGAUUUGAAUUAAAACUCUUAGCCUAUAUAUAUAGCUCAUAUGGAUGUGUAUUUGGUGUGGGAAAAUGUAGCGUGAGGCAUAGAAAGAGUGAGGGAGGUGGUGGAUAUAAAAAUAAAGAUAUAACCUUUUCCCGUGUUGAAUACAUUCCUCUUUCUUUGCUGAUAAAAAUAAAGAUGUAUGUAUGUAUGUAUGUAUGUAUUAUACUUCCAACUUUUAUUGCUAAUUAUCAAUGUAUUUCCCCUAUAUUUUAACAUAUUUGUGUAUAUUAUUUGUUCUACUUAACUGUUGUUUGGUGCAAGUAUGUUUAACUAUUUUGUAGGUCCAAUGGAGUAUAAAAGAGAUUAGAAGAGACAAGGAAUCGAGGGAAAAGUGAUAUGGAGUUGGUUUUCUUGACUAAGUUCAACCCGUAGAAGUGGAGGAGAACCAAAGAUCAACAAUGUCCAACCAAUUGAGCCUUCAUGCUCAACUGAUUGAAGAAAAGCAAAAGCAUCAAAUGGAUUGGUCCAACCGUUUGAACCUUUAGGUUUUACUGGUCGAAUGCAAGAAGAAGCCUCAAACAUAAAUUGUGAAUCCGUCGAGCUCAAGCCUCAAUUGGUCGAAUUGGAAGAAUAGGGCCAUCCUUCAACUGGUUGAACUUUAUGGUCAACCAAUUGAACCGAUUGUGCCUCUAGUUCAACCAGUUGAAAAAGGCUGUGAAACACCAAAAUUAAUAUGCAAUGCUACUUUUCAGUGGUGUUUUAGUCCGUUCACUUCUACCUUUUCCAAGGCCUAAAUAUAUCGAGAGAAUCUCGGCAUUGAAGGGAACUUCGAAGCCUAAUACACUUUAUUUUGGGGAUACUUCAUCCUUAAGAUUGCCCAUCCUUUGUCUUAAUACUUCGGUAUUUUUCUUUUCAAAAUCAUUAGUUUUAGAUUAGAUUAACUUUAGUUUAGAGUUAAAGAGAGUUGAAGAAAAGUUGAAAAUGAUUGGUUUCAAUUUGAAGAUCUGUAUUUUCUUGAUUCUACUCUUUUGAUUGAAUGAUUGUAAGUUUAUUUGAUUUAAGUUUAUAAAUUCCAUUUAUGUUAUGGAAUCUCUAUUUUCUUCCUAUAUUUGUAUUAUGUUCUUUUGCUUUAUGGCUUGUUUUUCAUAAAUGAUUUAAUCUUCCACACCCAUGGGGGGCAAAGUCUAUUGCUUGGUCUAAGGACUAUAUCUUACUCCAACCCUCAGCAUGAAUUGACUUCUUCUCUCUCUUUAAAUAAUUUCAAUGCUUGUUUUAGGAUGAUUAGUGGUGUUCUUAAGAUAAAAAAAUUAUAAUUGUAUACAUCUUUGAUUAUUUGUUCGCUUAGUACAAGUAAUACUUAGAUCUCUUGCAUUUUAAGUGCUUGAAAUAUUGUACAAACCAUUACCAAUCUCAUAAACACUUAUUUAGAUACAAAAUAUAUUUUUAUUGCAAAAUUUUUCAAGUAAAAUAAUUAUGCCUUGAGAUUUAGUUGAGUUACAUAAAUAGAGAAGACGUUAAAAUAUCUAAACUAGGAGAAAGUCUAGAUACUAGAGCCAUGCUACUUUACAUUUCAUUACAUAGUUUUUCAAAAAUCUUAAAAACAAUUAUUUUAUAAUUUCUUCACUUGCAAUAAAAUUUAAUCUUACAUUUUAGCUUCCUAAGAAUAUGGCCUUGGGAAUUCCAUAUAUUAUGCUACACUGAUAGGUUCCUACAUUUUAAAACCAUCUCUACUAAUUAGAUAUCAUCAGAAUCGUGCCAACAGAGUAUUACUGUGUUUUAGUAGUUGUUUCUUUGUUCGGGUGUGGUGAUGAAGGGCAAGUAUAGGUUAUGGUCAAUUGUUGCUAUUGUUCUGUUCAUUUUUCAGCUUUUGUUAUUUUCCUCUUUCUUUUCUUGUUGUUGGUUCCUCGCCAACGUUUUCUUAUAUGGGAUUAGAUAGUAUUAGAUAGGCUUUUGUUUAGGUGUCAAACUAGUUAGAAUAUAUUCUUUAACUAUAACACUUUUUUAUUUUCCUAAAACCGGAUAGAUGUUUAUCUCAAUGCAAUCAUUUCCCGUGUUGAAUAUAUUCCUCUUUCUUUUCUGAUUAAAAAAAAAGAUAUGGUAUGCAUUGUACUUCCAACUUUUAGAUUAUUCAUGCCAGUGCAAAAAGCCUCUCAUAUGGGAAAGCAACAAUUCAAAUUUCAAUUUGUGUCUAAAUUUCAAUUAAGAUUUCUGAAAUUGCACUAUCCUCUCUUAUUUUUAUUAACAUUGUCUAUACCCCGGUAUCCGAAUGUUAAAAAAGUAACAGAAGUUGCCCUCUCAGAAUCCACUAUCCUUUAAUUCUAAUACACAACGGUUCAAUACAGAGAGGAUUGAGGAAUGCUAUUUGCCUAUCUCCAAUAAAAAUUUGACAAAAAGUUGUGAGCCAACUCUCUCUCUUACGUCUUCCCAGAUAUUCCAAGGAAGUAAGAGCCUGUCAUGUUCUUCUCUUUUAAUUAGACUUUUUAUUUAUUUACUAAUAAUUAUUCGUACUUACAAGUACUGUAUAAAAAAAAUUAUUUUUUAGGUAUUUUCAUUAGAGUUUUAUAAUCUAAGAUAAUAUAUAAAAAUUAAAUAAAAAAUACAUUGCGUAUAUAUAUGAAGAGAUACAUUAUAAUAAAAUAGAGAAUAAAUUAGAAAGUAUAAUGAUUUUAAAAAAAUGUUGCUAGUUUAGGAGAAAUGAAAGAAAAGAAAGAGGAGUUUAAUUUUUUUUAGUAUUGGUCCCACUAAAAAAUAAUUUAAUGAAUAAAAAAUAUACCCAAAUUAAAUGUGUAUUUUUUGUCCAUUGGAUAAGAACUUAUGUGAGUCCCACACAUUUGAGAAGAAAUAAGUAAUAUUUAUGGGGAAAAAAAUAAUCUCAAGUAAAAUUUUAGUCGUUGGAUUAACUCAAAUAAAUUUCAACUGGAGAUAGUGAAAGAUAACUUUGAGAUUCAAAAACCAAGCUAGUAAUUACCCGUGCGAACUAGCACUACAAAAAGAAGAAAAACAAACCACCUCUUAGAUGUACGUGUUUUUUUUUUAUACAAUUUUAUAUCAAAAAAACUGACCCGGAAGAUCAACUCUAUUUUUUGAGGUGAGAAGCAAUAUACGUUGCUACAAAAUAAAGAAUAAAUUAAAUAUAUAAUAAUUUUUAAAGUGUGUUACUAGUUCGGUCAUUGGGUCAUAACUUAUGUGGGUCACACACCUUGGAGAAGAAGAGAAUGACAUUUUUUAGGGAAACAAAAUAAUUUCAAGUGAAAUCUCAGCCAUUGAAUUAACUCAAGUAGAUUUUUACUGUAGAUAGUGAGAGAUAGUUUGGAAGAUUUAAAAAUAUUUGUGUCUUAUAUUAUAAAUAGUUUUAAAGAUUAAAAAAUAUUUAUAUAUUAUAUUAUAGAUUUUUGUUAUUCUUAAAAAAAAAUAAUGUCAAGUGAAAUCUCAGCAUUGAAUUAACUCAAGUAAGAUUUUUACUGUAGAUAGUGAGAGAUAGUUUGGACAGAUUUAAAAAAUUGUGUCUUAUAUUAUAAAUAGUUUUAAAGAUUAAAAAAUAUUUAUAUAUUAUAUUAUAGAUUUUUGUUAUUCUUAAAAAAAAAUAAUUUCAAGUGAAAUCUCAGCCAUUGGAUAAACUAAAGUAGAUUUUUACUGUAAUAGUGAGAGAUAGUUUGAAAGGUUUAAAAAUAUUUGUGUCUUAUAUUAUAGAUAGUUUUAAAGAUUAAAAAAUAUUUGUAUAUUAUAUUAUAGAUUUUUGUUCUUAUUAUGAUAAAUUUAUUUAAAUAUUUAUUUUUACUCAAAUAUUUUUAUUACGAUCAGUAGAUAAAUUAAUUUCAAUAUAUAUAUAAAGUAUAAUUAAAAAAAAUAGGCGUAAGAAAAUCACUUUUCAUUAAAAUUACUUUUCAUUCUAUUUAUUUAUUUAUUUUAUCUGCUUGUUUUUCAUCUUUUUACUGUCUUUAAUAAUUGUUUUCACCGAUUAAUUAAUAUUUAAUACUUUUUCAGUUUCUCUUCAUAAAAAAAAUAUAAAAUAUAAAAAAUUAUCUAAUUUAAGAGUAAAUUUACUAAAAAUUAAAAAAUAAUUAUUUUUAUCUCUAAAAUAAAUAUUUUUUUAAUAUUUUUAAACUUUUAUUGUCAAAAGUUUGAUCAAAUUAUAAUAAAAAUUAUUAAAUACAUUAAAAUAAAAAAUGAGAGAAGAAGAAAUGUGUAUUUUAUUUUAUUUUAUAUGUGUUUUACUAAAAAAAUUAUCCAAUGAAUAAAAAAUAUAUCUAACUUUAAAAGUUUUUUUUUAUAUUGAAUCAAAAUCUAUGUGAAACUCAUGCCUUGAGUAGAUAGAAAUGAUAAUUUUAAGAAAAAACAAUAUUUUCGAUAAAAUUUUAAUCGUUGAAUUCACUUAAAUUAAUUUUAAUUAUAAAUAAUGCAAGAUAAAUUUCAAAUUAAACAUGAAUUGUAUUUUAUAGUAUAUAUUUUCAGUCAAGAAGUCAACACAUGAUGGGUUGUCUCCGAUAACAUUUUGUAGUCACCACAGUACCCUGCGAUUGAAAGCAUUGACUCGUAAAGAAUACUUGAGGUUGACCAACAAAGAUUGCCACCAAACUACACGCUUUAAGACCUUUCCCCAUCUAAACUAAAAAACAAAUCUUUUAUUGCCAUCAAAAGUCACCAGUGCAUGCAUGUUCACGGAAACUUUAAAAAAAUUUAAAAUUUUUUUUAGGUAUGAUACGAAAUAAUAUAUAAUUUUUUGAAUAUAAUUAAUUAUUUAUUAGAAUAAUUAUAUUAAUGUUUGCGAAUGCAUAGCAUUAUAUAAUAAAUAAGAAGAAGUAAAAACAGUGUUUGUGAUAGCAAUGUUCAAAAAAAAAAAAAAUAAAGUUCGCUAUACCCAAAAAUUCAUCUGAAAUUACACUGAACCCCCUUUAUGCUCCAAAAUUACAUUAGUAAUUUAGUACCUCCUCUUAGCAAAUAUUGUUUGGCUUAAUAACAGAGUUACUAAAAUACUAAAAUACGCUCUAUGACGAUCCUCUGACUUCGGAUGUUUCCUUUAUUUUUUCCAUUCCUUUUGCGUGCAAAGUUGUCGUACAUAAUGGCGUUGACAAGAAAAUGCGAUGUGUAUAGCUUUUGGGUUUUGACACUUGAAGUUUUGAAGGGAUCUUAUCCCGGGGAGGUUAUUUCAACCCUAAGCUCUUUAGUGGAUCAAGGCAUUCAACUUGAAGAUGUGUUAGAUCCUCGUCUCCAUCCUCUUACCAAAAAGAUUGAAUCUGAGCUCACCCCCAUUGUCAAGCUUGCACUAUGGUGUUUGCGUGC
rnacentral:lncRNA from 1 species